GUUUUUUAAUUGAGAACUGGAAUGAAUGGUCAUACGAGAAAUUAGCUUUCUUUAUUUUAUUAUAAUGAAAUUUAUUUUUUUGUGAAAAAGCAAAGAUGUAUUUAUUAGACGAUAAGACCCUAUAAAACUUCAUUGAUUUGUAAAAUUAAGUUGUUUAGUUUUUAAUUUAAAGCUUUUUUUAAUAAAUUAAUUUUGUUGGGGAGACAAGUAAAUAUAUUUAACUUUAUUUUUUUUAUUCAUUAAUUUAUGUAUUUUUUGAUCCAAUUGAUUAAAAGAGUAAGUUACUUUAGGGAUAACAGCGUAAUCUUGUUGGAGAGUUCUUAUUGAUGGCGAGGUUUGCGACCUCGAUGUUGGAUUAA
rnacentral:rRNA from 1 species